CCAGACUCCUACGGGAGGCAGCAGUGGGGAAUCUUCCGCAAUGGGCGAAAGCCCGACGGAGCAACGCCGCGUGAUCGAAUGAAGGCCUUCGGGUUGUAAAGAUCUGUUGACAGGGACGAAUAAGCAAUGCGAAUAAUUUUGUGUAUGACGGUACCUGUUUAGAAAGCUCCGGCUAACUACGUGCCAGCAGCCGCGGUAAUACGUAGGGAGAGUGCGUUGUCCGGAAUUACUGGGUGUAAAGGGAGCGUAGGCGGGCGAGAAAAUUGAAUGUUAAAGCUCCCGGGUUAACUGGGAGCUGCGUACAAAACUUCUUGUCUUGAGAGAAGUAGAGGCAGGCGGAAUUCCUAGUGUAGCGGUGAAAAGCGUAGA
rnacentral:rRNA from 1 species